CCAUUAUCAUCCACUUAAUGGGAGGCUAUGAUCUAGUUAUCACCAUAACUAUUUUAUUUUAAGAACCUAAUAAUUUUAGAAGAUUUAAUUGAUUUAGAGGAGGAGGUCAGAUGAACCAGCUUAUCAUGAUCCUCCCACUGGCUUCACCAAGUCAGCAUAAGGGAGACCAUUAAAAGGGCUGGUCUAGGAGCACCUAAAUCAGUCACACUGAUUUACCUAGCUGACAUGGGUCAGCUUGAAUAGUCAAGUGAUCCGAUCAAAAUAUAAUUUCACCAAGAGGCCAGGUAAG
rnacentral:lncRNA from 1 species